UAUGACAUCAAAGCCCAAAUGAUGAGAAC
rnacentral:piRNA from 1 species